rnacentral:rRNA from 1 species
AGUGAACGCUGGCGGUAGGCCUAACACAUGCAAGUCGAACGGCAGCACAGUAAGAGCUUGCUCUUACGGGUGGCGAGUGGCGGACGGGUGAGGAAUACAUCGGAAUCUACUUUUUCGUGGGGGAUAACGUAGGGAAACUUACGCUAAUACCGCAUACGACCUACGGGUGAAAGCAGGGGAUCUUCGGACCUUGCGCGAUUGAAUGAGCCGAUGUCGGAUUAGCUAGUUGGCGGGGUAAAGGCCCACCCAGGCGACGAUCCGUAGCUGGUCUGAGAGGAUGAUCAGCCACACUUGAACUGAGACACGGUCCAGACUCCUACGGGAGGCAGCAGUGGGGAAUAUUGGACAAUGGGCGCAAGCCUGAUCCAGCCAUACCGCGUGGGUGAAGAAGGCCUUCGGGUUUUAAAGCCCUUUUGUUGGGAAAGAAAAGCAGCAGGUUAAUACCCCGCUGUUCUGACGGUACCCAAAGAAUAAGCACCGGCUAACUUCGUG